UCAUCACUUACUGAUGACAACAUUUUGAAGCGUUGGAUUGUUCACUCACUAAUAGGGAACAUGAGUUGGGUUUAGACUGUCGUGAGACAAGUU
rnacentral:ncRNA from 1 species